UACGGGGGGAGCAAGCGUUGUUCGGAUUCAUUGGGCGUAAAGGGUGCGUAGGUGGCGCCGUAAGUCAGGUGUGAAAUUUCGGAGCUUAACUCCGAAACUGCAUUUGAUACUGCGGUGCUUGAGGACUGGAGAGGAGACUGGAAUUUACGGUGUAGCAGUGAAAUGCGUAGAGAUCGUAAGGAAGACCAGUGGCGAAGGCGGGUCUCUGGACAGUUCCUGACACUGAGGCACGAAGGCCAGGGGAGCAAACGGG
rnacentral:rRNA from 1 species